UUUUUCUUUUAAAAUGUUCCAUUUUAAGUUGGUUAUUUCUGAUUUAUAUUUAAAAGCAAAUAAUAAUGAUAUGGUAGGAGAUACACACCAAACAGGAUGUGUAAAUUAUUAUAUAAUAAGUAUUGUGCAAUAGCAAGAAAUUUUCAAUUGCACAGUAUUGCACAAUAGCAAGAAAUCUUCAAUUGCACAGUAUUGCGCAAUAGCAAGAAAUCUUCAAUUUAACAGUAUUGCGCAAUAGCAAGAAAUAUCCAAUAGCACAAUAUUGCGCAAUAGCAAGAAAUUGUCAAUUGUACAGUAUUGCGCAAUAGCAAGAAAUAUUCAAUUGCACAGUAUUGUGCAAAAGAAGAUACUUCGUAUAAAUUGCUUAUUUCUUGAUCAAUUUCAAUGGGGUUUUAUUCUUGAAUUCUUGGGGUUCUUUAAUAUGCUGAAUCUAACUGUGUAUUAAGUUUUUGGAUUUUGGGCCCCGUUUUUAAAUUAUUCCACAUUGAGGUCCAAAGGGUCCAAAAUUUAACUUUGUUUGAUUUCAUCAAAAAUUGAAUUAUUGGGGUUCUUUGAUAUGCCGAUUCUAACCGUGUAUUUAGAUUUUUAAUUUUGGGUCCCGUUUUUUAAAUUGGUCUACAUUAAGGUCCAAAGGGUCCAAAAUUAAACUUAGUUUGAUUUUAACAAAAAUUGAAUUCUUAGGGUACUUUGAUAUGCUGAAUCUAAACAUGUGUUUAGAUUUUUGAUUAUGGGACCAGUUUUCAAGUUUGUCCAAGUUGGGGUCCAAAAUUAAACUUUGUUUGAUUUCAACAAAAAUUGAAUAUAUGGGGUUCUUUGAUAUGCUGAAUCUAACCAUGUAUUUUGAUUUUGGACAUUGGACCAUAAUAGGUAAAUUAAAAAAAUUGAAGUUCUUAGACCACAUUCUUUCUGUGUCAGAAACCUAUGCUGUGUCAAAUAUUUAAUCACAAUCCAAAUUCAGAGCUGUAUCCAGCUUGAAUGUUGUGUCCAUACUUGCCCCAACUGUUCAGGGUUCGACCUCUGCGGUCGUAUCAAGCUGCGCCCAGCGAAGCAUUUUAUUGGUUAUUAUCUUGAACAUUAUUAUAGAUAGAGAUAAACUGUAAACAGCAAUAAUGUUCAGCAAAAUAAGAUCUACAAAUAAGUCAACUUGACCAAAAUGGUCAGUUGACCCCUUAAGGAGUUAUUGCCCUUUAUAGUAAAUUUUUAACCAUUUUUCGUAAUUUUUUGUAAUUUUUUACAAAAAUCUUCUCCUCUGAAACUACUAAGACAAAUUUAACCAAACUUGUCCGCAAUCAUCAUUAGGGUAUCUAGUUUAAAAAAUGUGUCCGAUGACCCCGCCCGCGAACCAAGAUGGCCGACAUGGCUAAAAAAUAGUACAUAGGGUAAAAUGCAGUUUUUGGCUCAUAUCUCUGAAACCAAAGCAUUUAGAGCAAAUCUGAUGAGGAUAAAAUUGUUCAUUAGGUCAAGAUCUAUCUGCCCUGAAAUUUUCAGACCAAUCAGGCAACCCGUUGUUAGGUUGCUGCCCCUGAAUUGGUAAUUUUAAGAAAAUUUUGCAGCUUUUGGUUAUUAUCUUGAAUAUUGUUAUAGAUAGAGAUAAACUGUUAACAGCAAUAAUGUACAGCAAAGUUAGAUCUACAAAUAAGGCAACAUGACCAAAAUUGUCAAUUGACCCCUUAAGGAGUUAUUGCUCUUUAUAGUCAAUUUUUUACAAUUUUCAUAAAUUUUGUAAAUUUUUGUAAAUUUUUACAAAGUAUUUUCCACUGUAACUACCGGGCCAAGUUCAUUAUAGAUAGAGAUAAUAGUAAGGAGCAAGAAUGUUCAGUAAAGUAAGAUCUACAAACACAUCACCAAAACACAAUUUUGUCAUGAAUCCAUCUGUGUCCUUUGUUUAAUAUGCACAUAGACCAAGGUGAGCGACACAGGCUCUUUAGAGCCUCUAGUUUUAUGUUACAUUCUUUUAGUAUUUUAUGUGACAGCUUCUGUUUUGGUUUGAAUCAAUGUUUUGAUGAGAUAUUUAUGCUAAUAAAACCAUCAUUUUGACAAUUAAAGGUAUUUAUUACUUUUUA